UUCUUCUCUCUCUUUUCUUCUCACUUAUUUUCUUCUUCUUUUGCUCUCUCUCUCUCUUCUUCUCUGUCGUUUGUCGUUAUCUCGAAUAGCGUAUCAUUAUGAACUUUUAUGUGACACCCUCUGAGCUCCGGUUCUCAGAUGCUAGUCAUGAGAGUAACAUUGCUUUAACCAAGGUAUCAUUAAAUCCGAGUAACCCUGUAAACUACCCUAGUCACCUUGUGCUUUAUCCGAGGAAUCAUCAUCAUCCCCACCAUCAAGAUCAGCAACUUUACCAAGACCAGAAACAAGUUAAACAAUCAACAAGUGAAUUUACAAGUUACUGUUCAAUUUGUUCAUCUUCAACUGGAAUAAACAGUUUAUUUUAUUCAAUGUGUAAGGUUAAAAGUGGUUGCUCGCCUAAAGAGGCUACAAAAAAUAAUAAUAUCGUUAAUAAUAGCAAUAAUAUUGCUAAUAGCCACAAUAAUCCAUCGCCAACGACGACAAUCAACAACAAUAAUAAUAAUAACAACAACAGUAACAUCAAUGGUAAUACCAACACCAACUGUAAUAGUAACUCUAGUAAUAACGUUAAUAGCAAUUUGAGUGUUUACAGCAAUCAUCCACAAUCCCCAACAAUAAUUUCAACAACAAAUCACAGUUAUCACCAUCAAUUUAAUAAUUGGAAAAAUUGUUCCAAUCGUUUUGUUGGUUAUUCCUAUCCUGCAGCAGCAGCCGCAGCAGCUGCAUCAGCGGCAGCGGCAGCAGCAAACUCUUAUGGACGACCUUUACCUUGUCCAUUUAUCAGUUAUUCACCCUCAGUGAUUUACCUACCUGUAUCUUAUCCGGCUCAUCCACCACCGGCACCAACUGUGACAUUACAGUCUUCACCACCAAUUCACCACCAUCACCAUCAUCACCCUCAACCGCCGCCACUGCCUUUUCAACCUCCUUCAUCCACUUCUUUAUCACCAGCCUCUGAUCCACCGCAACAUACUCCAUUUAAUAACUCUUUGUCAACUGGCCUUGUAAAUGUUGCUAAUUCAAAUUUACCAGCAAUUACAACAGCGACUGUAGUCCCGUCAACUGGAACAAUUAACUCUUGCUCGCCAUUAACGAAUCAAGUAUCAUCAGCAUCACCAUCACCUUCACCGACAAUUACACCAAAUAAUAAUAAUAAUAUUAACAACAGUAAUACUAAUAACAGUAGUAAUAAUAAUCCCUACAAUCAAAGUACACUUUGUACUAAUCCAAUUUACUCUACUUUGAUACCAAGUAAUAUUGUUACAAUAAGCAACACAACCAUCAAUAAUCACAGCCACAACAACAACACAUUCACCAAUAAUACCAACACCAUCAACACAAUUAUCAACAAUAAUAAUUAUAUUAAUGCAAAUGUUACCAAUUUCAACCACACCAACCAUAAUAAUAAUUUAAUCAAUACCAGUGAUAUUAAAUUAAUAACACCAAAUGAUCUGUCCCUAUCAUGUCCCAUAUUAGGAAAAAAUAAUGAAGCCUUCCAAUUCCUAUCCAAAGGAGCUCAAGUAAUUGUCCGAAUGCGAGGUCUUCCAUACGAUUGUACCGACCAGAAAGUGAUUGACUUCUUUGCUUCUGGUAAAAAUGGAUGUGAAGUUAUGGAUGGAACCGAAGGAGUUUUAUUUGUCCGUCGAGGCGAUGGUCGACCAACAGGCGAUGCAUUUGUACUCUUUGAAUCAGAAGAGAUGGCCAUUAAAGCUUUGCAUAAACACCGAGAAAGCAUUGGUUCAAGGUACAUUGAACUGUUUCGAAGCUCAACUGCCGAAGUUCAACAGGUUCUUAAUCGUGCAAUGGACUUUCGUUCUUCCUGUGAAACCAAUUCACUGAAUUUACCGCAAAUUCCGUUAAUUCCUCAUCAACUUCUUCCCUCUGGGUCAAGACGAGAUUGUAUUAGACUUCGAGGUUUACCUUAUGAAGCUCAAGUUGAACAGAUUCUUGAAUUUCUUGGUGAAUAUGCCAAUAACAUUGUCUUCCGUGGAGUUCACAUGGUUUAUAAUGCUCAGGGUCAACCUUCUGGUGAAGCAUUCAUCCAAAUGGACUCCGAACAAUCGGCAGCUCAAGCCGCAACUCAACGUCACCAUAAAUACAUGAGUUUUGGUAAAAAGCAAAGGUACAUUGAAGUCUUUCAAUGUUCAAUUGAUGACAUGAAUUUAGUUUUAACCGGAGGUGUUCCACUUCAACGGCAUUUACAAACUACAGGGACAAUAUUACCUUCACCAUACCGUGCUUAUCCAUACCUUGGCGGUGGCCCAGUGCUACCCGCCGGUACUGUGACUGCAGCUACAGCGGCCUUAACCACAGGAGCCGCUGGAGUCCAUCCAACCUCUUAUUAUCAUCCAAUAAUCUAUUGGCCUUAUCCAAGUCCUCCUGUUUCACCGACAACAUAUUAUACCCAUUCGGGUCCCACCAUGGUAAGAACCUGAGUGAGAUCAAGAAAUGAAAAGUAUGACAAGAAAGCACAGAGACUCACUUCACACUCAUCAUACUCAUUACAUUGGCCAACAUGCACCACACACAUUACUCUGUCCACUAUUAUAAGGCAACUAAUACAUGCUGCAACUACACAUAUUCAUGCAGACAGACAUUGACACACACGCCUUCAUCAUUUUUAAUAAUAUAAUAAUUAUUUAUAUUAUUGAUCCUUAUUAUUCCUCCUUCCAAAUCUCCAGAUGACCUCGGAAUGUAUCCAGAUACCUAGGAAUGGAGCCGGCGAUGGUCUGGUAACCUUUCCACCUCGAGUUGAGGCCGAACGUGCAAUUCAAGAGAAAAAUCGAGCCAACAUCGGUAACCGAUGUAUCGAGCUUUACCUGGCUUGACCAACCUGUUUCUCUCUCUCUAUCUAUUUCUCUAUCUUUCUCUAUCUCUCUCUCACUCUACCUCUCUAUUACUCUUCCAUCUAUGAUGAUCAACCAUGAUGAUCAAAUAUUAUAAUUAAUUUAACCAACAUAAUAUCCAACGAAAAACACCAAAAUAUCCAUACAUAAACAUUCCGUCCAUUUCUGGUGCUUUUGCAAAGAGCAUUGACAAUUUAUAAAUUUAUUCCCUCUCUCUCUAUCUCUCUCUCUUUUUUUCUCUCUUUGCCCACCUCAAAUGAUUAAAUGACCUUAAAGUGUAACUUAAAUUGUUCCCAAACAAUUAAUCAAUCCAAUUAUUGAAUUUUUGUCUCCUUUUUUUCUCUUCUUUUUGAUUCAUAUCUUAAAAAGCAAAAUAAUGAAAUUGAAUCUUUCACAUACAAAACCCAUUGCAGAGCAACAAAAACAAUUUCACACAUAAAACACACACACACUCAAAAAACACAUUGUAACUCUCAUUUUCUGGUUUCAUGUUACCAACAAGUGCCUAUGCUAAUAUAAUGCUUUAAUAAUAAUAACCAUUAUUAUAUUAA